AUCUUUCUCAUUUCUCAUUUGAGUCAUUUCUCAUUAGGGUUAGGCAGUUAGCUUGGUCCUUGCCGCCGCCGCGAGGGAUACGGGAUACCUCUCCUUCGCCGUCGACGAGCUCCCCGUCCUCUCCGACAAGACUCCAUUGCAAGCCUUUGAAGCCUUCUUCGCAAGCUUCCGCGAUUCCUUCUCCAAUCUCUUCGGUUCCAUUAUGUCAUCACGGAUUUCAGGAUGUGAUGAUGACCGGACGGUGAGCUCCAGUACCUAUCGAUCCCGGCGAAGGAUACUAGAUCGAAGACAGCCGGCUCGCGUCCAAGGUGUUCGACGUUUUGCCUGCGAGAAUCUCCCAGAAUUGAAACUCUGGCUAAUCCAAAGGGGCUUUGCUGCCUUUCACAUCAGUCAAACACAUCAGUUUUGGCUUGUCCUGGUGUGCAACGGGGACAGGUUCGGGUUGAACACUUUGGCCUGAAGGUGACAAAAUUCAUUAGUGCGCAUGAGUCCAGCAUUUCCUGCUUGACCUUGACAAUGGAUGGUCUUCUUCUUGCAACUGCAAGUGUGAAGGGGACUUUAAUUAGGAUAUUUAACACUAUGGAUGGAACCCGUCUUCAAGAGGUGCGUAGAGGAGUGGACAAAGCUGAAAUCUAUAGCAUUUCAUGGUUGUUAAUGGUGAUUGAGGGUUUGAAGAGGAAGAGGAUGAGAGUGAGGAUGAAGGAGUUGGUGAUGACUGAUGAGAAUGAAGAGCCAGAGCUCCAUUGUUGCUGCUGUUUUUUCUUCUUGUUGUUGUUGGCAUGGCUUUUUUUUUAUUUAUUUAGAGUUCAUCCCCAUGGUUUUUUCUUCUACUUGUUGCCUUAUGUAUGAAUUUUGUUUAAUUCAUCGCGUUGGACCAUUUGUAUUGAUUUUACUCAAUUUUGUGUUCUUAGAUUUGUAUUAAUAAAUCUCAUGCUCUCUUGAUUCUGUAAA